rnacentral:misc_RNA from 1 species
GAAAUGCGAUAAAUAAUGUGAAUUGCAGAAUUCAGUGAAUCAUCGAAUCUUUGAACGCACCUUGCGCUCCUUGGUAUUCCUUGGAGCAUGCCUGUUUGAGUAUCAUGAAAUCUUCAAAGUAAAUCUUUUGUUAACUCAAUUGGUUUCUACUUUGGUAUUGGAGGUCUUUGCAGCUUCACACCUGCUCCUCUUUGUUCAUUAGCUGGAUCUCAGUGUUAUGCUUGGUUCCACUCGGCGUGAUAAGUUAUCUAUCGCUGAGGACACUGUAAAAGGUGGCCAAGGUAAAUGCAGAUGAACCGCUUCUAAUAGUCCAUUGACUUGGACAAUACUUUUAUGAUCUGAUCUCAAAUCAGGUAGGACUACCCGCUGAACUUAAGC